CAGAGACACUCUGAGGAAACUCACCCAGCCCAAACUGUCCAAGGUGGACUACCUGAGUCAGAAGCUGUCCUCAGCAGCAGAGACGGACAGACAGACGCUCAGACAGCAGAUGGACAGUUUGGAGAGAGAGAUCGACCUGCUCAGAGAGAAGAAGGAGGAGGAGCUGAUUGGUGAUCGAUAUGAUGAACAUGAUUGGCAGAAAAUCUCCAA